rnacentral:rRNA from 1 species
UACGUAGGGUGCGAGCGUUGUCCGGAAUUAUUGGGCGUAAAGGGCUCGUAGGCGGUCUGUUGCGUCGGGAGUGAAAACUCAGGGCUUAACCCUGAGCCUGCUUCCGAUACGGGCAGACUAGAGGUAUGCAGGGGAGAACGGAAUUCCUGGUGUAGCGGUGAAAUGCGCAGAUAUCAGGAAGAACACCAAUGGCGAAAGCAGCUUUCUGGGACGGUACUGACGCUGAGACGCGAAAGCGUGGGGAGCGAACAGG